rnacentral:rRNA from 1 species
UAGGGAAUCUUCCGCAAUGGACGCAAGUCUGACGGAGCAACGCCGCGUGAGUGAAGAAGGAUUUCGGUUCGUAAAACUCUGUUGUUAGAGAAGAACAGCGCAUAGAGUAACUGUUAUGCGUGUGACGGUAUCUAACCAGAAAGCCACGGCUAACUACGUGCCAGCAGCCGCGGUAAUACGUAGGUGGCAAGCGUUGUCCGGAUUUAUUGGGCGUAAAGCGAGCGCAGGCGGUCAAUUAAGUCUGAUGUGAAAGCCCCCGGCUCAACCGGGGAGGGUCAUUGGAAACUGGUUGACUUGAGUGCAGAAGAGGAGAGUGGAAUUCCAUGUUUAGCGGUGAAAUGCGUAGAUAUAUGGAGGAACACCAGUGGCGACGGCGACUCUCUGGUCUGUAACUGACGCUGAGGCUCGAAAGCGUGGGUAGCAAACAGG